rnacentral:tRNA from 2 species
GGGCUAUAGCACAGUUGGUAGCGCGCUACAUUCGCAUUGUAGAGGUCAGGGGUUCGAAUCCCCUUAGCUCC